GAUGAAGAACGCAGUGAAAUGCGAUACUUGGUGUGAAUUGCAGAAUCCCGUGAACCAUCGAGUCUUUGAACGCAAGUUGCGCCCGAAGCCAUUAGGCCGAGGGCACGCCUGCCUGGGCGUCACACGUCGUUGCCCCCCCAUCUACUCCUUCGGGAUUGCGGGGGGCGGAUGAUGGCCUCCCGUGCGCCUCGUCGCGCGGUUGGCAUAAAUGCCAAGUCCUCGGCGACGCACGCCACGACAAUCGGUGGUUGCGAAACCUCGGUUGCCCGUCGUGUGCGGUCGUCGCGCAUCGAGGGCUCGAAAAAAUUGCCGGGCUCCGGCUCGGCUUUCAACGCGACCCCAGGUCAGGCGGGGUUACCCGCUGAAUUUAAGCAUAUCAAUAGCGGAGGA
rnacentral:misc_RNA from 1 species